rnacentral:rRNA from 1 species
UUAGAUCACCGAAGUCAAGCAUCAUUGGGCGCGGUCAGUACUUGGGAGGGUGACCACCUGGGAACACCGCGUGCCGUU